rnacentral:rRNA from 1 species
GACGAACGCUGGCGGCGUGCUUAACACAUGCAAGUCGAACGAUGAAGCUCCAGCUUGCUGGGGUGGAUUAGUGGCGAACGGGUGAGUAAUACGUGAGUAACCUGCCCUUGACUCUGGGAUAAGCCUGGGAAACUGGGUCUAAUACUGGAUACUACACAUUCUCGCAUGGGGGUGUGUGGAAAGGGUUUUACUGGUUUUGGAUGGGCUCACGGCCUAUCAGCUUGUUGGUGGGGUAAUGGCCUACCAAGGCGACGACGGGUAGCCGGCCUGAGAGGGUGACCGGCCACACUGGGACUGAGACACGGCCCAGACUCCUACGGGAGGCAGCAGUGGGGAAUAUUGCACAAUGGGCGAAAGCCUGAUGCAGCGACGCCGCGUGAGGGAUGACGGCCUUUCGGGUUGUAAACCUCUUUCAGCACGGAAGAAGCGAAAGUGACGGUAACGUGCAGAAGAAGCCCGGCUAACUAA